rnacentral:rRNA from 1 species
CAGUAGCCGCGGUAAUACGGAGGGUGCAAGCGUUACUCGGAAUCACUGGGCGUAAAGGACGCGUAGGCGGAUUAUCAAGUCUCUUGUGAAAUCUAACGGCUUAACCGUUAAACUGCUUGGGAAACUGAUAAUCUAGAGUAAGGGAGAGGCAGAUGGAAUUCUUGGUGUAGGGGUAAAAUCCGUAGAGAUCAAGAAGAAUACCCAUUGCGAAAGCGAUCUGCUGGAACUUAACUGACGCUAAUGCGUGAAAGCGUGGGGAGCAAACAGGAUUAGAUACCCCCGUAGUCCCUGUCUCUUAUAC